AGUGAACGCUGGCGGUAGGCCUAACACAUGCAAGUCGAACGGCAGCACAGUAAGAGCUUGCUCUUACGGGUGGCGAGUGGCGGACGGGUGAGGAAUACAUCGGAAUCUACUUUUUCGUGGGGGAUAACGUAGGGAAACUUACGCUAAUACCGCAUACGACCUACGGGUGAAAGCAGGGGAUCUUCGGACCUUGCGCGAUUGAAUGAGCCGAUGUCGGGUUAGCUAGUUGGCGGGGUAAAGGCCCACCAAGGCGACGAUCCGUAGCUGGUCUGAGAGGAUGAUCAGCCACACUGGAACUGAGACACGGUCCAGACUCCUACGGGAGGCAGCAGUGGGGAAUAUUGGACAAUGGGCGCAAGCCUGAUCCAGCCAUACCGCGUGGGUGAAGAAGGCCUACGGGUUGUAAAGCCCUUUUGUUGGGAAAGAAAAGCAGCAGGUUAAUACCCCGCUGUUCUGACGGUACCCAAAGAAUAAGCACCGGCUAACUUCGUG
rnacentral:rRNA from 1 species